rnacentral:rRNA from 1 species
UACGUAGGGUGCAAGCGUUAAUCGGAAUUACUGGGCGUAAAGCGUGCGCAGGCGGUUAUGUAAGACAGAUGUGAAAUGCCCGGGCUUAACCUGGGAACUGCAUUUGUGACUGCAUGGCUAGAGUUGGCAGAGGGGGUAGAAUUCCACGUGUAGCAGUGAAAUGCGUAGAUAUGUGGAGGAACACCGAUGGCGAAGGCAGCCC